rnacentral:rRNA from 1 species
UACUCCCGCCGGCGACCGGCGCACGGGUGAGUAACACGUAUGAAACCUGCCCGUAGCAGGGGGAUAAGCGGAAGAAAUUCCGUCUAAUACCGCGUAACAACCCGAGGAGGCAUCUCCUCGGGUUUAAAGGAAGCGAUUCCGGCUACGGAUGGUCAUGCGUCGCAUUAGCUAGUUGGCGGGGUAACGGCCCACCAAGGCGACGAUGCGUAGGGGUACUGAGAGGAAGGUCCCCCACACUGGUACUGAGACACGGACCAGACUCCUACGGGAGGCAGCAG